rnacentral:lncRNA from 1 species
GGAGCCAGCAGGGGGGUUUGUGUUUGGAGGCUGGAUGGUAAGGGUGAUGAGGGGCCAGGGGUGAGGAAAAUAGGGGGUGACUGCAGAUGUGGGCCUCGGACAGGACAGGGCUUGAAAGGGGCAAGAGGGGGCCGGGUCGGGGGGAGAGUCUAAGGCUGAAGAAUCAGGAUUUCGUGAUGGGGCCAGGUUUGUUUAAAGGGAAGCAGUGCGCCUGAGCUUGGUUUGGGGUGUGAUGGGUCUAGCGGGGUCUCCGGUUGGUUGCCCAGGCCGUCAUGGCUCUACUGCCCACUGGUCAUAUGGCCCCAGGCUGGCUCAGUCUCUGCACCUUCUUUAAGGAUGUCUUAACGUGACCAUCCCAGAGGCUCAGAGUGAGGCUGUUGAGCCCUGAGCCCCCCUCAGGGCUGUGUGCCACCUGCUAAGACUCGAGCAGGCGGCUCUCAGGAUGCCAUGCAGCCACCCUCCAGCCUGCUCUCACGCUGUGCCUCUCGUUGGAUUUAUCCAGUUUCAAACAGUCUUGAAUCUUCCUCCCCCUGCAGAAAUCAGUCUUGCACGUUACCCUCCAGCUGCAGCCUGGCCCCUCUCUCCCACCCGCAGGGGGUUUGACCCACCCUCCCUGUCCCCUUGGCAUUGGCAGUCUGGCUCAUUUCUCUCCCAGAACAGCUCUGUUUAAGGUCACCCGUGAUGACCGCAUUGCCAAAUCCGCUGGCUUCCUUUCCUGUCUGCACUCCAAGCAUCUGACCCUGCCUGUUCUCCUCCUUUCGAGAGUAUUCCUUUCUGUUCCACCUGCUCCGAUUCCCCUUCCCAGCCUGCUCCUGAGAACACAAGAACACAGUCCCCGUGGGAAGCUUGUUGACAGUCAUGGCCUCCACACAGUCCUCACUGGUGCUGGGUGGGUCGGCAGGACAAGGCCUGGGAGCCUGUUUCAAGUUCCCCAGGUGCCUCUUCGCAACAGGCAAGGUUGGGGACCUACUGUGGCUGUUGAUGCUUCUUAAGGUCCAGCCCCUUCCAGCAGCCUUGGGAGAGUGAAACUUCAGGCCCAGGGACGGUCAUUUUCCCCAAGACCCUGUCCCCAUUUCUCAGUGUUCGUCAUUUCUCCCGAGGGAAGGGCCUACCGAGCUUUCUCCAAAAAAGUAUAUGACUCCAAACAGGUGAGACCUGCUCCCCGAUGUCCUCCCAGGGCGCCCCCCACCCCGCCUGCUGGCCCUGCGCGAAGCUCUUACCCCCCUCUGGCGCUCCAGACCCGGGUUUCGAAGUGCCCGCUCAUUUCAAAAUCUCCAUCUCUGGAUGUCCUUGAAACACCUUGACUUGUCCAAGAUGGAAUCUGCUGUCUUUCCUUCCCAGAGGCUUCCAUGCAACAUUGCUUUUUCCAAAGCAGCAAACAUGACUCCAGCCAGAUUCCCAAACGGGGCCACCUUCAGCUCUGCCCUCCUCUCCCCUCACAUCCGCAAGCCCUGACAUGCUGCGCUGAAGUGACCUCAAAUCCGCUCUUCUUUUCCCCUUUCCCAUGUUUCUCGGUACCACAGGAGCCCAUCUCUGGGCUGCAAAUGCCUGCAGGGACCUGAGGGAAUAACUAGGUUUGGCGUGGCAGACAGGCGCUGUGGGCUCUGCCAUGAACAGGGACUCACACUGCCAGCCAUUGCCACUGUGUCAGAAUUUGCACCCACUGCUGCCAGAAUCUCUGAGAAGCUAGAAAUCCAGACCUUUAUGUGAAAUCUGAUUUUUGAAUUGCUUUUUCUGUCUCACGGGUGUCUGCUCUUACUGUUACAAACUUACUCUUUGUGCAUAAUUUGGGUUUCCUUUGCCGAGGGCUUUCCCCUAGCUUUUUAACGUGGUUUUGAGCCUGCCUUUUUUCUCAGGAAGCCUCUGGUUGCACAUUUCAGUUUAACACUCCUUUAGCUGCGUCCCAUCUGGAUAUGUUGUUGUGUUUCAUUGUCAUUCAACUCAAAAUAUUUUCUAGUGCCCCUUAUGAUUUCUUCUUUGACCUGUGGGUUCUUUAGAACAUGUCUUGUUGACUGUAUAAAUCCUUAGGGGCUUUCUGAAUGUCUUUCUGUUACUCUGAUUUUUAAGUGAGUUCUUUUGUGAUCAGAGGGCAGAUUCUAUGUAUAGAGUGGCAGAUCUUUGGAAUUUAUUGAGGCUUCUUUUAUAGGCCUCAGUAUGGUCUCUUUUGGUGGAAGUUUUUGUGUGCACUUGAAAAGGACGUGCAUGUGCUGUUGCAUGUGCAGCGUCCCCCGGUGGUAGCGAGGUCAGGAUGGUCGAGAGUGUUCGGGUUUUCUAUCCCCGUUUUUUGGUCUGCUCGUCCUGUCAGUUACUGAGAAGGAACGCUGGGCUGUGCUUGUGGAUUUGCCCAUUUCUCUCAUCCGUCCUGGCAGAUCUUGCUUCUAAAUUGGUUUCAAUGUUGUCUGGGUGUGACUUAAGUCUUCUGAGGAAAGGACGAGGCCUUGGUUUUAACAGGCCUACCUCCAUUUCAGUCAUGCCAGCAUGGUUUUCCCGAGCCACGGGCCUGACCGCAUCACCUCCUGCUGAAGGCGGAGCCCUAGACUAGGUCCUUAGGGGAAGAGAAAGUGAGGUCCAGACCUGCUGGCCAGACAUUCGAGGCCUUCACUGCCUGUUUCUACAAGCUUUUCCUGCUGCCCCGCCCCACCCACCCCUGCCCUAAGGUAUUGCCUUCUUACCAUGUCUGGGUUUCUUGACACCUGUUAAGUUUUUCUCCAGAGAUACAGCCCACUCCACUCUGUGCAGAAAGCACUGCUCCUCCCUGGCAUUCCCUGGGCACUCGGUCCAGUCUUCAGUAUAACACACAAUCCCGUGGCGUCAGUAUCUCCUGUUCACGUGCAUUUCAUGGAGGUCCCGCAUGUGCCAGCAGGGCCGAGGUUGAAUCUUUCGUGGACUCCAGCCUCACGGAGCACCCUGCACACAGUAGGGCAGGCAUUUUAAAGAAGUAAAUGCGAACUGCAGAUGUGCCCCGCCCCACCCCUGUCCCCUGCUGGCCUGAAAUGAGGGGGGUCGGGCAUGCAGGUGCAGCCCGGUGCCCGGGGUCAGGAAUGCCCGGCUGCAGGAGGGUCGAGAAGGAAACUGAGCUGCCAUCGCCUGUUCCCCAGCUGGAACCCAGGAGCACACUGCCAGGGGACGUGGCAGCCAGCGCUGCCCUGCCUGGGCUGGGCUCUUAGCUCUGCUGUGGCUUUGGGCCACUGAGUCCCCAAAGACUGUAAGACAUGGCUGUCCCCACGGGGAAGGCUCACUCUGUGAUGGUGACAGGGCCCAGGUCUUAUGCACUCCCUGACCGUGGGCCAGGGUCAGGUGAAGCCCGAUACCGGCACCGUUCUUAGCAUGGCAUCAGGGAGGGUUCGGCAGAGAGAGGAGAGCGAGGGAGGAAGCAAGGGUCCGUGUGGGAGGGUGUUGUCACCUAGGCCGAAGUUGGGCCACUGGGGAGGACCGGGCAGCAAGCGGAGGGCAGCGAGUGCCAGGAGAAGACAGUUGGAUUUGCUCGUAAGGGACCAGACGCACUCUCCGAGGGGUUGGCCCGGCGGAGGGGCAGUGCCGGCCUCAGAGGAGCUGAAGAGUGAGGGGCACGCUUCUGGUCCACCCUGCCGUUCUCACUCUCCCCCAGACCCCUCCCCCGGUCUCCUGUCACUGCCCCCAUCCCGGAGACAGUGCCGCCUUGCCCUCCUUUGCAAAUCCCCCCCACAGUACCCUCCUCCACCACGCCACCCACGUCUGUCCACGGCUCUCUUGGCAGGGGGAUGAGAGUGUGGGUGAGAGUUGGGGGGCGGGGGGGCAAAUGAGCUUUCUUCCGUGUCCCCAGCAGUGCCUGGCACCGUGCUCAGUAGGUCAGGGAGGGCUCGGAUAGUUUCGCUCAGCAAGCCCCACACCAGGGGUCUCAGGCUGCAGUGCGGGCAGGCCCCAGGCAGCUGUCAUAGGUUGCGACAGGCCAGAUGAGGAGCCAAGUGAAGACACACGUGCCCUCUCUGAAGGGGGCAGCUGCCAAUCAACUCAGCAGGUAGAAUCCGAUUGUGGCGUUUUAUGACAUAAAAUCACAAAUCUGGACUUUUCAAGGAGACUCUGCCAGUAGUUUGCCAAACGUGGCCUUCGAGAUGGGGUUUGUAUUGUUCCUGGGGGACCCGGUGGGUGCCCUACGGGCCAGGCCCUGAGAGCCACGCUGCCAGCCGGGGAAGCUGAGAUGUCCGCCGGGACCCCAGAUAAGGGGGAUAAGGAUUUUAAGCAGAGGUGAGACAUGGUCAGACUGGGAUUUGAAAGAGGAAGAGAAAAGCAGAAUCUGGGGAGACCCGAGCACUGUGGAAAGUCAGACACAGCGGGCAUGGGCGAGGGGCCCUCCGGGCCUGGGUAGAGGGGCUCUGGCCCAUCUUGCCUCCCAAGCGGACCUGCCCACUGUAGUCACAGCUCUAUUUUUUAAGAGGCUGGUUGUUAUGUGACAUCUCCUCAUUUUUGGACAUUGGUUCCAAUGUUGGAACACAUGCUGGGCAGGCAAUGUUGGAACACAUGCGGCUGAACGGGCCGCACGGUGUAUGUGGCCCUUGGGCUGAGAGUUUCUUGGUUCCCCUCGAGGAGCAGGGUGAGGCGGGCUGCUCGCGCUGUGCCCCCUCGGCUUCGGGUCCCUAGGCUUCUGCCUGGGGAGGAAGCGCCGUGAACACAGCCUUGUUCUUGCUGUUCUGGCUGCAGUGGAGCGGAGGCGGAGGGACAAGAUCAACAACUGGAUCGUCCAGCUUUCAAAAAUCAUUCCAGAUUGUAACGCAGAUAAUAGCAAGACGGGAGCGAGCAAAGGUGGGAUCCUGUCGAAGGCCUGUGACUACAUCCGGGAGCUGCGCCAGACCAACCAGCGCAUGCAGGAGACCUUCAAGGAGGCCGAGCGGCUGCAGAUGGACAAUGAGCUCCUAAGGCAACAGGGAGCCAGCCCUGGCUGCUUGUCCCCUGGCGUGUCUGGCAGAUCGAGGAGCUGAAGAACGAGAAUGCCGUGCUCCGUGCGCAGCUGCAGCAGCACAACCUGGAGAUGGUGGGCGAGAGCGCCCGGCAGUGACGCCCGCCCACCCCAGCGAGCGGCGGGGGCCGCCUCCGGGCCUCUGCUGUCCCCUUCCCCAGCCCUUAGCACAGAGAGGGACAGAUGCCCCUCCCCCAGCUGCGUUUUUUUAUAGUAGAUUUUUAACAAAAACAAAAAACAAAAACGGGGAGAAAUAAUGCAUUUCUGUGGAUAAGCCCCCACCACUCUCCUCAACUUGAAAGCGCUAUCCUCCCGCCCCCCCCGCCGCCCUUCUCCCAGCCCCACUAAGCCCAGCACUUCUAGUGGCCUCGCCGGAGGCAGGCCGGAGGAGGACAGAGGCCCUGCCAUAUCCCACUGCCUCCUUGGUCUCUAGAGGUACUGACACAGGGUGCUUACGGGAAGGGGGGGAGCCUUUGGGGGCCAGCCCCGGGGCCUGGGCCUAAGCAGGGAGGCCAUGUCCCACCCCACCUCUUGUUUCUGGAACCCUGCUCCCCUUUGGGUGUGUGAGUGUGUUUUAAUUUUCUUUAUGGAAAAAUGGACAAAAAAAAGAGAGAGAGAGAGAGAGAGGUAUUUAACUGCAAUAAACUGGCCCCAUGUGGCCCCGCCU